GGUGAACGCUGGCGGCGUGCCUAACACAUGCAAGUCGAUCGGAGCAGCAAUGCUUAGAGGCGAACGGGUGAGGAAAACGUAGUAACCAACCCUUUAGACUGGGAUAGCCACUGGAAACGGUGGGUAAUACCGGAUAAGCUCGAGAGAGGAAAGGCAGAGAAGCGCUAAAGGACGGAACUGCGCCCCAUCAGAUAGUUGGUGAGGUAAAGGCUUACCAAGUCAAAGACGGGAAACCGACGUGAGAGCGUGUACGGUCACAAGGGCACUGAGAGACGGGCCCUACUCCUACGGGAGGCAGCAGUGGGGAAUAUUGGACAAUGGGCGCAAGCCUGAUCCAGCCAUGCCGCGUGAGUGAUGAAGGCCCUAGGGUUGUAAAGCUCUUUUGUGCGGGAAGAUAAUGACGGUACCGCAAGAAUAAAGCCCCGGUAAACUUCGUG
rnacentral:rRNA from 1 species